rnacentral:rRNA from 1 species
GACGAACGCUGGCGGCGUGCUUAACACAUGCAAGUCGAACGGAAAGGCCCUGCUUUUGUGGGGUGCUCGAGUGGCGAACGGGUGAGUAACACGUGAGUAACCUGCCCUUGACUUUGGGAUAACUUCAGGAAACUGGGGCUAAUACCGGAUAGGAGCUCCUGCUGCAUGGUGGGGGUUGGAAAGUUUCGGCGGUUGGGGAUGGACUCGCGGCUUAUCAGCUUGUUGGUGGGGUAGUGGCUUACCAAGGCUUUGACGGGUAGCCGGCCUGAGAGGGUGACCGGCCACAUUGGUACUGAGAUACGCCCGAGACUCCUACGGGAGGCAGCAGUGGGGAAUAUUGCACCAUGGGCGGAAGCCUGAUGCAGCAACGCCGCGUGCGGGAUGACGGCCUUCGGGUUGUAAACCGCUUUCGCCGGUGACGAAGCGUGAGUGACGGUAAUGGGUAAAGAAGCACCGGCUAACUACGUG